GGUGAAGAUGGAGGGAUAGAGGUGGAGAGAUGAAGGGGCAGGGAUAGGUGGAGUAACUUGAACCCUAAACCUAUACAGAAUAAAAUGCAAGAAAGUUUUGGUGAUGUAGGACAUUUUGUCCUUUCCAGCAUGUCCUUCUAGUGAUGUUCAGGGCACAUAGCUCCAAGCUGUACCCCAUUCUGGCUUCAAGCUCCGGUCCACAGUGCUCUGUUUUAGUCACUCUCACACACACACAUUCACCCCUUUGUACCCUCCAACACACACACACACACAGACAUAGACACAUAGACACACACAGACAUAGACACACGGACACACACACACACACACACACGUAGACACACACACGCAUACAGUAUAUGGAAACACACACAUGUCCUGCUUUAAGCUCAGGUCUAUACUGCUCCCAUGAUGCCCAG
rnacentral:lncRNA from 1 species